rnacentral:rRNA from 1 species
GCGAACGCUGGCGGCAGGCCUAACACCUGCAAGUCGCACGAACUCUUCGGAGUUAGUGGCGGACGGGUGAGUAACACGUGGGAACGCGCCUUUUGGUUCGGAAUAACUCAGGGAAACUUGUGCUAAUACCGAAUGUGCCCUUCGGGGGAAAGAUUUAUCGCCAUUAGAGCGGCCCGCGUCUGAUUAGCUAGUUGGUGAGGUAACGGCUCACCAAGGCGACGAUCAGUAGCUGGUCUGAGAGGAUGACCAGCCACACUGGGACUGAGACACGGCCCAGACUCCUACGGGAGGCAGCAGUGGGGAAUCUUGCGCAAUGGGCGAAAGCCUGACGCAGCCAUGCCGCGUGAAUGAUGAAGGUCUUAGGAUUGUAAAAUUCUUUCACCGGGGACGAUAAUGACGGUACCCGGAGAAGAAGCCCCGGCUAACUUCGUG